rnacentral:lncRNA from 1 species
GGUUCUGUUAGUGUUCCCUACAUCCUCCCACAACAGAGAGAGAGAAGGUUCUGUUAGUGUUCCCUACAUCCUCCCACAACAGAGAGAGAGAAGGUUCUGUUAGAGUUCCCUACAUCCUCCCACAACAGAGAGAGAGAGAAGGUUCUGUUAGUGUUCCCUACAUCCUCCCACAACAGAGAGAGAAGGUUCUGUUAGAGUUCCCUACAUCCUCCCACAACAGAGAGAGAGAAGGUUCUGUUAGUGUUCCCUACAUCCUCCCACAACAGAGAGAGAAGGUUCUGUUAGAGUUCCCUACAUCCUCCCACAACAGAGAGAGAGAAGGUUCUGUUAGUGUUCCCUACAUCCUCCCACAACAGAGAGAGAAGGUUCUGUUAGUGUUCCCUACAUCCUCCCACAACAGAGAGAGAGAAGGUUCUGUUAGAGAUCCCUACAUCCUCCCACAA